ensembl:lncRNA uncharacterized LOC115559569
GAGGGGGAAGGCAACAGACUGAUUUACUUAAGAGCUUUAGUGGAGCUUAUAAAGGACUGCGGUCACGCAAUCUACACUUCGGAGUAGCGCGCCCUCGCCGUCUAAACUUAAAGGAUCGAUUGCGCAUCUAGGUUGCCUUUUACGGUAAAACACUUAAUUGCGCCGACAGGGUGCAAUGAAGUUCACCUCAUUAAGUGAGAAACAGAAUGGCCACGAAAGUGGUUCAAAAGGGAAUUUAACAUUUAAAAAAAUUACCUAAAUUUUUCUCUGCUUUUGAUUCCCCAUCGUGUGAAUUCUGUAUCAGCAUUCACUCUAAAUAUUCAAAUCUUUAUUAUUAUUCUUCCGCCCCUAUGUUUGGUAUUCUACUCCUGCAUACUUUCAGCUACAGAAACCAUUCAACUAUCAAAAUGUGCACCGCUUUAACGACAUAAUUGCAUCAUUUAUACUUUUUUCCAUUUUUCCGUUUAAUUUCAUACCGGCUUCGUAUAUUUUUUGGCACAUCAUAAGCUCCUCUAAGAUGUUUGGGAGACCUGUGGCUUAAUUAUGAUCUGCCAUAAUAAAUAAAGGGCGCCAUGUAAUUCUGGCUGAGUUAUGGGUUAACCAGCCGACAGGGUGAUGAGCGGGACUGCAUCUCAUGACUUUGGGUGCGCUUAUGGCUUAUGUCCGGUUAACCAGCCGACAAGGUGAUGAGCGGGACUGCAUUUCAUGACUUACGGGUGCGCUUUGGCAUCUAUCCGGCUAGCCAUAAGGCUGCGCAAAGACCGAGAAUUUUGAAGAUUCAUGCCCAGAGAAGAGCUCUCCAACAACAGUUUGCCGGCGUGAUAAAUUAAGGCCAAGUAGACACGUCCGACUGGACUUUGAAAGUCAAGACCCCAGUCCUCCAAACAAACAGGCCUUCCAAAAUCUCCCUAAGACCCCUGCUGCCUCUGGACCGUCCAACAUCAGCCGCUCUCUUCUGCGUGACCUGUUGGUUAACCAACAAAUCCUGAUGGACCAGCAAAAGACCAUGAUACGCAUGAUCCAAGACCUCCACAGAUCUAUCCAGGGAGGUCAGAAGAUGUCCACCACCUCCAGCCAUACUGCCUAUUUUCCGCUAGGGGAUAAACUGGCUCUGGAGGCCCUGGAGGGCGACCUGGCAAGCCAGCGGGACCUUCGUCAGGAAUUGAUGCAGUGAGGCGCAAUCCAUCCUGUUCAACAGCAAACGGAUGUGCAAAUUUGCGGAUGCCAUUAAACAAUGGUUUUACUGGGCUGGGGAUAGGGAGGGAGGAAGGAAAAAACGCCAGCCGGCUCCAAACCAGGAGCAAACUGAUUAAAUCGAAUAAAAGAUACU